rnacentral:rRNA from 1 species
AUGCCAGAAGAAUGGAGACGGAGUAUAUUAGUACCAAUCUUCAAGAACAAGGGGGAUGUUCAGAGUUGUACUAAUUACCGUGGAAUUAAGCUGAUGAGCCAUACAAUGAAGCUAUGGGAGAGAGUCAUUGAGCACCGCUUAAGAAGAAUGACAAGCGUGACCAAAAAUCAAUUUGGUUUCAUGCCUGGGAGGUCGACCAUGGAAGCCAUUUUCUUGGUACGACAACUUAUGGAGAGAUAUAGGGAGCAUAAGAAGGACUUGCAUAUGGUGUUCAUUGACUUGGAGAAGGCCUAUGAUAAGAUACCACGGAAUGUCAUGUGGUGGGCCUUGGAGAAACACAAAGUCCCAGCAAAGUACAUUACCCUCAUCAAGGACAUGUACAAUAAUGUUGUGACAAGUGUUCGAACAAGUGAUGUCGACACCGAUGACUUCCCGAUUAAGAUAGGACUGCAUCAGGGGUCAGCUUUGAGCCCUUAUCUUUUUGCUUUGGUGAUGGAUGAGGUCACAAGGGGUAUACAAGGAGAUAUCCCAUGGUGUAUGCUCUUUGCGGAUGAUGUGGUGCUAGUUGACGAUAGUCGGACGGGGGUAAAUAGGAAGUUAGAGUUAUGGAGACAAACCUUGGAAUCGAAAGGGUUUAGGCUUAGUAGAACUAAAACCGAGUACAUGAUGUGCGGUUUCAGUACUACUAGCUGUGAGGAGGAGGAGGUUAGCCUUGAUGGCCAUGUGGUACCUCGGAAGGACACCUUUCGGUAUUUGGGGUCAAUGUUGCAGGAGGAUGGGGGUAUUGAUGAAGAUGUGAACCAUCGAAUCAAAGCCGGAUGGAUGAAGUGGCGCCAAGCUUCUGGCAUUCUCUGUGACAAGAGAGUGCCACAAAAGCUAAAAGGCAAGUUCUACAGGACGGCGGUUCGACCCGCAAUGUUGUAUGGCGCGGAGUGUUGGCCGACUAAAAGGCGACAUGUUCAACAGUUAGGUGUGGCGGAGAUGCGUAUGUUGAGAUGGAUGUGUGGCCACACGAGGAAGGAUCGAGUCCGGAAUGAUGAUAUACGAGAUAGAGUUGGGGUAGCACCAAUUGAGGAGAAGCUUGUCCAACAUCGUUUGAGAUGGUUUGGGCAUAUUCAGCGCAGGCCUCCAGAAGCUCCAGUGCAUAGCGGACGGCUAAAGCAUGCGGAGAAUGUCAAGAGAGGGCGGGGUCGACCGAUUUUGACAUGGGAGGAGUCCGUUAAGAGAGACCUGAAGGAUUGGAGUAUCGACAAAGAGCUAGCUAUGGACAGGGGUGCGUGGAAGCUUGCUAUCCAUGUGCCAGAGCCAUGA